UCUGACUACAUCACCUUGGGGAAAACCUCACAAGUACUAAUCAACAUUGCUCAUGCCAUAAUAUAUUCAUUCCUGCAAGUCUACAUACAAUUCGGCAAAAGGAAGGCAUACAUCCAAGUGGACGAGGCAUGUUAGGAAACGGAAAAGAUUAACCUGCCAUGGCAAUCAUUUAAAACAGAACCUCGCCGCAAUACUUGCAUGUCUGGAAGGUUGACUACGCUGAUACCGACAAGUAAAAACAAUAUUAGAAAUCAUUCAAAACACAACAAAAAUGGCAUCGCUUCAUAUAGCUCAAGUAAGCUACCAAGACACUGUUUUGGUCCUUCAGAGAGGAAAUGCAGAAGCUUUGCGACUUGAUGCAUUGAUAGAAGCACGCACAACCCUCUGAGUAAGCGCCCCCAUGAACAUGACUACAAAAAGAAAUGCACCCAUUGUGCUGUCAAAAAUAAAGAAAAUUCAUGAGGCCGGAACGAAAAGACGCAAAUCAGAACUCAAACUCGAGGCACUCACAUCCUUGUUUGUGAACUGGAUAGGUCAAGGUCGGUCACGGCUUUACUGGUCAAGGCCCACUGCCUAACCAAACCCUAGCUCGCAGGAGUAAAUGUGUGCUAGAGCGUCCGGAAGGGUGAGACGGAGAUUGCUGGCCUUUGCUGCUAUACCCUGUAAAAACAAGGGGUGACUACAAGCAUGGUGGCAAGUGGCAACAUAAGGAGAUUGUGAGGGCUGGCAGAGCCAAGUCCUAGAUCAUUGAGUUCUCGUUGGUUUAAGUUACAUGCAGCACAUGCGGGUGGAGAUUGUUAGGGAGGAGGGUGGAGCAAGGAAGGUUUGAGAUUUCAGGCUCAAUAAAUCUUGAUAUCGCUUGUACAUUUUUAAUGGAGUGGUCCAUCACAUGGUUCCCAACAUUCCAUGUUUCCACUGAAUGUGGUUUCGAUGUGAUAAUCUUAAGAGGAAAAAAACAACAUCAUAGAACCUAUUUUUAAGUACUCAGAGGACCAUAAUAUCACAGUGCAACAUUUGGCUACCGUACAACAUUUACAUCUACUUAGAGCAAUAAAAUAUGACCUUGAGACAAAGAAACCAUUCAUCUGAACAUAAUAAGCAAAUAAUUGUACCUGCCACUUUUCUCUGUCUUCUAUAAAGAGCUCCAUGUAGAGUAACCCCAACACCUGAUGCUAUAUGCACUCUACCUAUUGUAGAUAGAGAAGAAUACACAUAGCAAUCCCAGCACCUCGCUAAUCAAAUUUCAUCUGAACCAGAUAACAAGAAUCCUGCCAGCACAAAUGAUUUAGGAUACUCCUUUUGAAAUUGCAAUAGCAUGCUAAUAGGAAAAUUAUUUAAAAUACCAAUACCUUCAAACAAGAUAAUAAAGAUGAAAAAUAUAUUGAUUUCAAAACUUCAUGGUCAUCUGAGUCCUAUUAAGAGUCAUGUGUCUGCUACACAAAUUACCGGAAAGACCCAGACACCCAGCAAGAUUACACUCACAAAAGACAGGUGCAGUAAAAGCACGUGUUUGAGUUACAUUCGAAUCCCACCUGUGCAGCAUGUUGCUGAUUACAAAGCUUGCAGAAAACAGGAAGUUAAAGUAGUGCGGAUAUAAUAGAAACAGGAUUCAUAGAUUAAAAAGUGAAGCCAAUAUGUUGUAUCACAGCAAGGUUCCAACUGGCCUAGACCAAAUGUACGUACUGGUAUGCCCGCACAUGCAUUAAGCUGCUUAUGCUUUUGUCAUUGCUUCGCAGAAAAAGGGCUAGCAGGACCUUAUUGCCUUGGGAGCCAUUUGGUAUUUAUUUAUAUUUGUGACUACCCCUCUUUAAAUUAGCAAGGUGGUACAUAUCUCGACUUACGUCCCAUGCUACUGACCAGCCACACUUGGGCAGAAUUUCAACCAGGCAAGGCUAAGGUGUCACAGUUGUGGAAAAUAGAAUAGACGACAGGGGAAAUUCAGCAUCUAGUAACUAAAAUAUUUGUAACGUAGAUAUGUAUGACAGAACUUGUAUAAAAUUCAAAGAGACGAUGAUACCAAUGUCCAAGAGAAUUAUGAUAUCAGCUAUAAAUAUUUCUUGCUAGAUCUUACUACUACUUUACAACACCAGAGACAAAAGUAACACCAUUUAUGUAAAUCAACAUAAUUUCACUUCAAUACCCACUACAAAAAUCUUUCUAUGUUGUCAACUAAGUCUGGCAAUCUUUCCAGAACUCACCAGUUAGACUUCAUCUGUCGAGUGGCAGUGUGGAAUAUGUUAACAUGAACAGGCAUGUGGCCAUCUUUGUACCACGUACAGAGUGUUAUAAAAGCCAGACACAACAUGUGUCAGUAUCUUUAGUAAUGUCGACUCUUCAUUCAUGUCUGUUGGAAGGAGGGAAAUAAUUAAAAGAAGAAAUACGUUCCUGAAAUGUGAGAUGUAUAACUCAAAGAAAACCUGAGUAAAAGAAAUUGA
rnacentral:lncRNA from 1 species